AUGUGGCGGGGCGCGAUGUGUGCCGGAGGGGUGCUCUGGAGACAAGAGCCAGCAAAACUAAACACCCUCCCUGUCACCCGCCAGAGAUUUGCAGACACAAGGGCAGUAGGGAUUAUGGCCGGGGGACGGGGGGGGGAAUAUGUGUCUCUGUCAGCACUCUGGCAACGAGAGCAGUUUGGCUCUCGGGGAGCAGCAAUGAAGGACCAGGGGGGAUCGGGUGGGUUUGUUCGGGGUGCGGGGAAAAGCUCCGUGUUUACGGUGGCACACAGCCACCACAGCUCCAAGGGGGACAGCGAGGACAAGGACACCCCCAGCACCCGUGCCUGCACGCUCAGCCCCCCCAUGCCCGUGUGCGGGCACAGCCGCCCCCCGAGCCCACCCCGCCGCCCCCAGCCCCGGCAGCCACCGAGGGGCCGCAUCGCGGCUCCUCCCCUCGCUGCCGGGCCUCCUGCGGCAACAAGUGGGCGCCGCCGGAGUUUCCUUCCCCGUCCCCGUCCCCGUCCCUGUCCCUGUCCCCGCAGCCGCCGCUGCCUCUUCCCCGCCGCCGGUACCUGCGCGGCGGCCGCCAUGUCGCGGCCGGGCCGCCCCGGGGACAGGCUCCGGCCCCGCUCGCCGCCGCCUACAAGUCCCGUGAGGCUGCGGCGGCACCGGGACGGGGCCUGGCCGGAGAGGAGGAGGAGGAGGAGGAGGGGAAGGAGGAGGAGGAGGCGGCUCGGGAGAGGCCACCGUUUGUCUGAGUCCGUACCAGUUCAUCGUGGUCUUUGCACGGACAGCUGAAGUGGAUCUGAAAGUCGUGCUCGAUAAAGCCAACAAGCAGCAGAUUUCCCCUUUCUGGCCCUGCUGAGGACACAAAAACACUUCCCACAGCUGUAAGGUGUAGGCCUCGUAACGUAAGAGACUGGGAGAACACGGGUGUGAAACUGGAACCUAAGAUCACUUCCUAACAUGGCGCUUCCACACCUCAUCGCCCAGCAUAAGCUUCUCCUUCCACAACCAGUCCAUUGCUACUCUUUGUUUUUUGUUGUUGUUCAAACUUGCACCCUUCACUAACGCUUGAUUCUCUGAAAAGUUUCUUUCACAGUGUCUGAAGCUGGCUACAGUGUUUUUGUAUUUGAAAGGUACUGAAAAACUAAGUUCUUUUUUUUUUUUUUUUUUUUUUUCAUUAUUGUUGUCUUGAUAAAUAAACAACGUUAAAUAAAACUUGUGAUCAAACAGUUUGUCAUCAAUUCUUGCCACAGCACUUGUGAUUAUAUUAAUGUCAUAAGCUUUAGCUUUGGCAGCCAUAUGAUCAAAGCAUUCUAUUUUCAAGACUGUAAGGAAAUACAUGGUGGAUGUAGUCACUGACAUGCCUCCAUCCUUCUCAUUUUUUUCAUCCUCAACCUAAGGAUGACUAAGUGACCUUGAAGUUUUGUUGAAUAGCCUUCACCUAAAGUAUGAUUUUGAAAAGCUUGAAAACAUUUUAAUGUCCUCAGAAAUGCAGGUUAUGGGGCUAAGCAUGUUUUGGGGACAUGACUCAUGAAAUGCAAUGGGAUGUCUUACAUUGCUCUGAAGCAACAUUCAGACUGACUUCUCAGCAUGCUUUGCCACGUCAUGCAGUACACAACCAGGAGCAUCUAUUGAAAACAAAUGUUUGUUUUCCAUUGAUCAGCAGGCAACUGGGUCUUCCAAAAGUAACCUCAGAAUUAUUUGUUGCAAAUAACAAUUAAUCAGAUCCCAGAUAAUUUCAGUGCAGUGGAAGUUUUACAUACUUUCAUAAAAUCUGUGUGUAGUUUAAUUUCUCACAUAUAAAGAAGUAGAAUGGAUCGCUCCUGCUUUUUAAUUAUGUAGUGGCAAGCUACUUGGAGAAGUAUUUAAUUAUUAACAUUACUUACUGAAUUACGAUCUGUUUAUACAGACAUCAGUGUCUAUGGAGAAAAGCACCGUGUUUCCAACAAAGUCCAUGGCUGACCAACACUUCCUUAGGAUUUUCUGCAUAUUCUAAUUUCUUAGCAACAAAUGAGUUUCAAGGUUUUUGCUUUUUGGAAGCCUCCCCAGAAAAAUAAAUGCACUUUCUACUCCAUUUAUGUUGUUCAUUUUUAUUUUGAGAAAAUCUAUAGAUUAACUUCUUCAUAAACUAUGAUGGGCUAGAUGGGAAUUAUUGUCAAUUUUACUGUCCCAGGAAAGGUCAUGUCAGUCACAGCAGCAAAUGGAAAACCUUUGUUGGGAAAUAUCUUUUGACUAGUUGUUGGAAUGCUAUGAAAGUAAUUGUAAAUAUAUUCCAUAAAGGUACAUAACUCAGUAAUUAAGGACCAUGAAGCAAUCAUGCAGUAUCCUUCAGGUUCUGUUCCAUAUGGCUGAAACGUAGGCCAAAAUAACUAUAUAAAGGCUAAAAUCAACUGCUGACAUUGAAAGUGGAGUUUAGAUCUAAUGCUAGCUGCAAUUCUUUUACACAGAGUGAUUCUGCAAACACAAUUUGAGCAUGAGUUUUUAUUUUUGAUUUUGGUGGCACUAGAAGCCAUUUCUGUACAUGAUUUGCAAAUAAAUGUAGCUGCCUUUGGUUUUAAUGGUGCAUAAAUUUGCAUAAAGGUGCUCUUUUUAUGUGGGAAGAGUUUCCUCUAUUGAGGCAAGCCAAUUCACACUGUCUAGCUCAUCAUAAAGUAAAAUUACACACUGUCAUCAAUCAUGUCAUGCUGACAGCAGUUUGGUGCCUCGUUGGCUAGAGGAGAUCUUUAUUAAACCCUGUUAACUAACUGGGCUCCAUCAGACAACCAGAAAAAAUGUUUCCUGUGGCUAUUAUAUUCCGUGAAUAUUUCAUAGUGGCCUCUGAGUAUAUCUGCAGAAAGCAUCUGUCCAUCUUUCUGAGAUUACUGUUGUAUGUGCUACAUGUUCAUAUUAUUUUUAAAGCAUUAUUUGAUACGUAAUAACUGGGGAGGGUUUUGCUUUCACUAGGCACUUGAGGUAUUUUAUGAGUGUAACAAGUUCCCAGCUUCCCUGGUCACCCUCAGCGGAUUAACAUACCAUUGUAGCUAGACUGAACAACACGCUGCUGUUCAUCAUCAGAGACUUUCUGU
ensembl:lncRNA